UACGUAGGGUGCAAGCGUUAAUCGGAAUUACUGGGCGUAAAGCGUGCGCAGGCGGUUUUGUAAGUCUGUCGUGAAAGCCCCGGGCUCAACCUGGGAAUGGCGAUGGAUACUGGCGGGCUAGAGUGCGGUAGAGGAGAGUGGAAUUCCCGGUGUAGCAGUGAAAUGCGUAGAGAUCGGGAGGAACAUCAGUUGCGAAGGCGGCUCUCUGGACCAGCACUGACACUGAGGCACGAAAGCGUGGGGAGCAAACAGG
rnacentral:rRNA from 1 species